AUGUGGGGAGCAGAAGAAAGAGGCCGGACCUCGAACGUUGAGCUGGAGCUCGUCUCGGCUACGGCGCACAGCGAUGCAUGGGCGAGCAUGGCGCGGCGAGCGAGCGGCAAGCAGGCAGGGUGUGCGCGCGGGUGCAGAUGCAUGCGGGGGCUACGGGCGCGUGCGUGUGUGGUGCAACAAGGAGCGGUCGGAGAACCCAAGCACAAGCAUUGGAGCCUGCUUCCAUGGAAGCCAUGGCAUGUGGGCACGGACAGGAAGGCUACUACGGCGAGGAAAACAGACAUGGUUACGAGGCUUGGGGAGCGGCUGCUCACCACAGGGGUGCCGACGAUGAUAGAUCGGAUGGAUAGGCGACGGAGGCGAUGA
rnacentral:rRNA from 1 species